rnacentral:lncRNA from 1 species
AGAAAAUUCAAACAUGGUUGUAUAAUGGGAAAAUCAAGAUGGAAUUUCCUGCACUGGCUGUUGAGAUUGAAUACAAGAUUGUAUAAUGGGAAAAUCAAACAUGGUUUUGACAGGGCUAUUGCUUAGAAGAUUGAAGCCAUUUCAGCGUAACAUGUUAGGAGGACGGGUAGACCAAAGUUAGCAUGGCCUUUUUGUAGUUGCAAAUGAUCUAGUUUCUCAUAUCUCCCAAUAGAUAUUGCAAUGAAUCAACAUAAUGCUGGAAAAGGAUUUAGUAGAAUAGUUACUCUUGCACGCACAGUAAGCUAGUAAAUUUAUAUAUGCAUUGUUUAUGUAUGUAUAAUCAAUUAUUUAACUACAUCUUCGAGUCCAUCUCUUUGAUGAGUUUGUUUCAUUUGCAGUAAUCAGCUAAAAUGAGAGGAGGAAAUUGUGAACAAUCAGGCGCCCGACAAGGAAGAUGAAGAAUUGCCAAGACUCUUUGAUGGGCUAGCUAGAAUUAGCGAGAAACGAGAUGUCGACAUAUCACUGCAAAUGAUUUUUCGCAAGGGAAAAGGAAUUGUCAACUGUGACGAGAAAGGAAAGAGAUCAGAUUGAGGGGGUGAUUUGAGUCAUGUUGUCAGUUGUAGCACUAGGAUGAUGUGAAUUUCAAUUUGUAUAACGAUAUAUUGGUUUUAUGUAUGUCUAAUCUGCAUUUCAGUGCGGUUUCUAAGAAAAAAAUGAACUUGUGAAUCACAUUCACUAGUAGGAGUAAUCUUUGGUCACAUUUGUUUCACAUUUAAAUCCUAGCAUAAAGCCCUUAUGUUUAUUAAGCAACUAGCUGUUGUACUGUAUUCAACUGUUUUAU